rnacentral:lncRNA from 1 species
CAAGAAACUAAAUGGUUAAUACAGUUACUAACUAGACUAAUUGGCGGAACUAACCAGUUGUUCUCGCCAUGCCAGUUGCAAGUGAAUGCAUCUAUCGCUGAUGUUGUAGGAUUCCAAUAUUUCGAAUUAAACCUAGUCAGCUUUGUAUUAUGCAUGUUCACAUAUCAAAGUGAAUGGUCCCCAGAUGCUAUUAAAAAAAUCGAAAAAUUCAAAAGAUAUGCCCCA